GGGUGCAGAGGAGGGGGAGGGGCGGGACCCCAGGGUAGGGUGCUGUGCAGGGAGGCUGCCCAUGGAGUCAGGGUGCAGGGUGUAAGGGUCAGGGUGCAGGGUGUAAGGGGUCGAGGUGCAGGGUGCCAGGGUCGGGGUGCAGGGUGCCAGGGUCAGGGUGCAGGGUCACAGGUCAGGGUGCAGGGUGUUGGGUCGGGGUGCAGAGUCUCAGGUCGGGGUGCAGGGUCACAGGCCAUGGUGCCCACACUUAUCUC